CGGGAGGCAGCAGUGGGGAAUAUUGGACAAUGGGCGGAAGCCUGAUCCAGCCAUGCCGCGUGUGUGAAGAAGGCCUUUUGGUUGUAAAGCACUUUAAGCGAGGAGGAGGCUACUGGUACUAAUACUACUGGAUAGUGGACGUUACUCGCAGAAUAAGCACCGGCUAACUUUGUGCCAGCAGCCGCGGUAAUACAGAGGGUGCGAGCGUUAAUCGGAUUUACUGGGCGUAAAGCGUGCGUAGGCGGCUGAUUAAGUAGGAUGUGAAAUCCCUGAGCUUAACUUCGGAAUUGCAUUCGAUACUGGUCAGCUAGAGUAUGGGAGAGGAUGGUAGAAUUCCAGGUGUAGCGGUGAAAUGCGUAGAGAUCUGGAGGAAUACCGAUGGCGAAGGCAGCCAUCUGGCCUAAUACUGACGCUGAGGUACGAAAGCAUGGGGAGCAAACAGGAUUAGAUACCCUGGUAGUCCAUGCCGUAAACGAUGUUUACUAGCCGUUGGGGCCUUGAGCUCUAGUGGCGCAGCUAACGCGAUAAGUAGA
rnacentral:rRNA from 1 species